AUUGAACGCUGGCGGCAGGCUUAACACAUGCAAGUCGAGCGAGCGGCGGACGGGUGAGUAAUGUCUGGGAAACUGCCCGAUGGAGGGGGAUAACUACUGGAAACGGUAGCUAAUACCGCAUACCAUCAGAUGUGCCCAGAUGGGAUUAGCUAGUAGGUGGGGUAAUGGCUCACCUAGGCGACGAUCCCUAGCUGGUCUGAGAGGAUGACCAGCCACACUGGAACUGGGACACGGACCAGACUCCUACGGGAGGGAGCAGUGGGUAAUAUGGCACAAUGGGAGCAAGCCUGAUGCAGCCAUGCCGAGUGUGUGAAGAAGGCCUUCGGUUUGUAAAGCACUUUCAGCGGGGAGGCGUUACUCGCAGAAGAAGCACCGGCUAACUCCGUGCCAGCAGCCGCGGUAAUAC
rnacentral:rRNA from 1 species